UUUGUCCGUUUUGAAUUUGCCUGGUGUGUAAGGCGGAGUGGUAUCAAGGAGCGAGGACAUAUUGGGCGACAAAAUUUAUGAAAAACCAGCACUUGGGAUUCUGGCGUUUGUCGUGGAGACGGUGACCGCGAUUGCGACGAUGGAUCGCGGUGGAAUGAUCGGUGGGCUUUUUCGGGUUGAACGGGGACGUCUGGACUCUGGAGUUGGCUCUUCGUCAAAGUGGCGGCGUUCUAUGAGGUGAGGUGUGGAGUGGUUUCCUGUAGGGAUGGC
rnacentral:misc_RNA from 1 species